CCAGCAGCCGCGGUAAUUCCAGCUCUAAUAGCGUAUAUUAAAGUUGUUGCAGUUAAAAAGCUCGUAGUCGGAUGUCGGGCUCGGGCAGGCUGUCGGCUUCGGUCGGACGGCAGGCUCGGGUCUUUCUGCCUGAGGAACCCGUGGCACUUAACUGUGCGGCGUGGGGACGCAGGCCGUUUACUUUGAAAAAAUUAGAGUGCUCAAAGCAGGCUAUUCCGCCUGAAUAUUCGUGCAUGGAAUAAUAGAAUAGGAUGUCGAUCCUAUUUUGUUGGUUUUCGGGACUCGACAUAAUGAUUAAUAGGGACAAUUGGGGGCAUUUGUAUUCAAACGACAGAGGUGAAAUUCUUGGACCGUUUGAAGACAAACUACUGCGAAAGCAUUUGCCAAGAAUGUUUUCA
rnacentral:rRNA from 1 species